rnacentral:rRNA from 1 species
AGAGUUUGAUCAUGGCUCAGAAUCAACGCUGGCGGCGCGCCUAACACAUGCAAGUCGAACGAGAAAGUGGAGCAAUCCAUGAGUAAAGUGGCGUACGGGUGAGUAACACGUGGAUCAUCUACCCUCUUGUGGGGAAUACCGAUGGGAAACCGUCGACAAUACCGCAUAAGCUCGAGAGAGGAAAGCCGAAAGGCGCAGGAGGAGGAGUCCGCGGUCGAUUAGUUAGUUGGCAGGGUAAAAGCCUACCAAGACUGUGAUCGAUAGCCGGCCUGAGAGGGCACACGGCCACACUGGCACUGAAACACGGGCCAGACUCCUACGGGAGGCAGCAGUGGGGAAUCUUGCACAAUGGAGGAAACUCUGAUGCAGCGACGCCGCGUGAGCGAUGAAGCCCUUCGGGGUGUAAAGCUCUUUCGUCAGGGAAGAUAAUGACGGUACCUGGAGAAGCAGCUGCGGCUAACUACGUGCCAGCAGCCGCGGUAAUACGUAGGCAGCAAGCGUUGUUCGGAGUUACUGGGCGUAAAGGGUGCGUAGGCGGCUUUUUAAGUUUGGUGUGAAAUCUCCCGGCUCAACUGGGAGGGUGCGCCGAAUACUGAGAGGCUAGAGUGCGGGAGAGGAAAGUGGAAUUCCUGGUGUAGCGGUGAAAUGCGUAGAUAUCAGGAGGAACACCGGUGGUGUAAACGGCUUUCUGGACCGUAACUGACGCUGAGGCACGAAAGCGUGGGUAGCAAACAGGAUUAGAUACCCUAGUAGUCC